CCUCCGUUUUCUGAUCGAGAGCCUUCUUGACCUAUAGACCCUUAGACGGAUCCCGUACCAUGCCCGAAAUGAUCGCGUUGGGCUCGGUCUCGUCAGACAAAAUGCAUCCGCCCUCACCUUCUUCGUCCGCAUCGGUAUCAUCCGCAAGCACCCAAAAUCGUCCUCCGAUGUUUGGCUUAGGUGCUGCAUUCUCGGAGUCCAACGCGAGAUCGACUAAUUCAAUCGACUCCUCCACAAGCGAACUCUCCUGCACACACUCGCGAACCACAAUUUGAAAAUCAUCAAUAGCAAAACACGUACCUGCUUGGAUCUGUUCAUCCACAUCCAGAUAGCGUCCCGCGAGAAUGUCAUGAUCUCAAUCUCGAACUGUCGUCCAUCUAGAUGCCGCAUGGUAGUAGAGGAACCCAUCUCUACCCGAUCCAAUCUUGUGGUCAUCGCUGAAUUGGAUCCUCCAUCUGAUAGGGACCAAGAGAGAAUCAGCCUGAAUCACCGCAUCAUCCUCCGAUCCGGCCGGCCCCCUCCGAACUGCCAGCGCCGGCGGCGGCGGAACCACGGUCUCCAGGACCGGCGACGAUGGAACCGGCCCCCCCUGAAUUGCCAGCGCCGCCGGCGGCAGAACCGCGGUCACCAGUACCGGCGGCGGUGGAUCUGGAGGCCGCUGCAUUUCCGGCGUCAUUCACGCGGAGUAGGCAGCCGCGCACGAAGCAGUCACCCAAAUAUGAGACUAAUCAUGAGAGCAAUUCAUUGAGGAUGCAAAGGAAUGGUUUGCGACUAUCAUGGAUGAAAGCUUACGAGCUGGUUCAGGUAAAGCGACUUCCCUGCUACAACAAAUUAUGAAGGAAGGUGCUCCUGUUGCUCCAGUUUCGAUUGCAAGUCCUGCUAAAAGUUCUGGUACCUCAUCAUUGACAAAUGCAGCUGAAAUAAGUUGGACGACCUCAAUUUCUUCUAAACUAGGGAAAAUCUCCAUCUACAUAAUUAUCCUAAUCUUUUUCAUUGUUAGAGAAUGGCAAAUGCAUGAGUGAUUGGGCUAGAUAAAUCAUCGACAAUAUUACUUGAUGUAGUUAAGACAUGGAGACUUUUACGAUUUUGAUGUGUCAGAUGGCUCUUUUCCAAAUUCGGUACCUAUAACUAUUACUUGUUGUAAUUCCUUGGCUCCUUGCUAUGCUUCAUUCUAUUGCAAUCUUUAUUGUUUGGUUUCUAUGCACGUUAUUUUCCAUAGUUGUAGAAUUUAUCUUAGAAUGAUACAGUUGGAAACUUUUUUUUUUUGCUUGCUGGCUUGUUAUUUUGUUGUUUAUUGUUGUUCUGUAUCAUUUUUACCUCAAAAUGCUUGUUUACCAGAGAUAAUCAAAUUAUGCAUCAAGGGACUAUAUGCACCAUUGUUACUAAUACUUGAUGGGCUCGGUAGGCUUUGAUGGUGCUCUUUGACUCCAUCAGUUACUGAUACCUGUCACCCAGUCCUUGCAGGUGCUCCUGUUGCUUCAGUGUGCCAGACUCUGAACAUGACAAGAGACGCUGAAAACUAUGGUAUCUCAUCAGUGACAAGUCCAGGAGCUACCAAGCUUUGCAUACUGCAAACAUGAGAAUCAUGAGAUGCACCAUAUAUAGGUUCUGCUGAAAAAUCCUUGGCUUGAGAAGAAACUAUUUGAAUUUAAGUUGGUGCGGCCUCUUUUUGAAAUGUGCACAAGCCCCUGUGUGCACCUUUGGUCAAUGUGAUAUUCAGUGUUAGAGAACACUAGACAUUAUGCUUUGAUUAUAGACAACCGAAUAAUCCUCAUGAGCACCGAUUCUUGGACAGGCCCAGAAAAGAGUCAAGAAGGUGCCUGUGAUGGUUUCAAUCCCAGAAAGAAUCCACGGGCAGAAUUGGCAACUAUUGAUGGAUAUUUGGAUUCAAAAAGGCAACGUACUACUGGGACUUUUGGGGAAGCAAGUAUGGUGCCGGUGAAUGAAGUUUGGGCUGAAGCUCACUAGCUGGCUGGUGAAGUCAACCACCUAGGUUCAUAACCGAGAUAUGGUGACAAUGGUGGUGGCGGUGUACCUGCUAACUCGCACUUCGUUUAUGCUUUGAACUUGGAUGUUAAUUAUACAACUUUGUUUCCAAGUGCCUACUAUGAGCUAGUACUUCAUAAAGUAAUUCUGCUGUUGAUUAUGCAAAUAUGUUUCUAAGUGCCUACUAUGAGCUAGUACUUCAUAACGUAAUUCUGCUAGUGU